rnacentral:rRNA from 1 species
GAUGAACGCUAGCUACAUGCUUAACACAUGCAAGUCGAGGGACCACAUGGUCUUAUCUUGCUACGGCCGAUAGCGACCGACGCACGGGUAAGUAACACGUAUCCAACCUACCGUCUACUCUUAGCCAGCCUUCUGCAAGGCAGAUUCAUACAAGUUUACAUCAUCACUCCGCUUGUUCACAUGAUUCAAGUUAUUCCGCUAGACUAUGUGGAUGCGUUCCAUUAGAUAGUAGGCGGGGUAUCGGCCCACCUAGUCUUCGAUGGAUAGGGGUUCUGAGAGGGAGGUCCCCCACAUUGGAACUGAGACACGGUCCAAACUCCUACGGGAGGCAGCAGUGAGGAAUAUUGGUCAAUGGGCGAGAGCCUGAAACAGCCAAGUAGCGUGAAGGAGGACUGCCAUAUGGGUUGUAAACUUCUUGUAUAAAGGAAUAGUGUCGGGUACGGAGAACCGCUUGAAGGUACUUUAUGAAUAAGGAACGGCUAACUACGUG